rfam:Burkholderia sp. OLGA172 chromosome 1, complete sequence.
CCUGUUGUACGACCAACAGUUGCCUACCUGGACAUGCGCGACGGGAGACCGUCGGGUGUGAAGCUCCGGGGACAAAGUACCCUUCCGACGGACGGUCCACCUUGGUGACAAGGAACCGACACUGCGAGCAGCGACGCGGUAUAGGGA